rnacentral:rRNA from 1 species
GACGAACGCUGGCGGCGUGCUUAACACAUGCAAGUCGAACGAUGAAGCCGGAGCUUGCUCUGGUGAAUUAGUGGCGAACGGGUGAGUAACACGUGAGUAACCUGCCCUUGACUCUGGGAUAACUGCGGGAAACUGUAGCUAAUACCGGAUACGACCCUCGGAGGCAUCUCCUGGGGGUGGAAAGAAUUUCGGUCAAGGAUGGCCUCGCGGCCUAUCAGCUAGUUGGUGAGGUAAAGGCUCACCAAGGCGACGACGGGUAGCCGGCCUGAGAGGGUGACCGGCCACACAGGGACUGAGCCAGGACCCAGCCUCUUCCGGGAGGCAGCAGUGGGGAAUAUUGCACAAUGGGCGCAGGCCUGAUGCAGCAACGCCGCGUGAGGGAUGACGGCCUUCGGGUUGUAAACCUCUUUUAGCAGGGAAGAAGCGAAAGUGACGGUACCUGCAGAAAAAGCACCGGCUAACUACGUGCCAGCCGCCGCCGUAA